UCAAGAUUUAUCUAUAAAGAAUGUCAUGUUUGUUGAGUCUUGCAUACAAUUUGCUUUCCGUUCGUAACCUUGCAAUUAUGGGAUUUGCCACAUUCUUUAAUCUUGAAGUAUCCUUUGUUGGAUAUGUCGAGAAUGGUCUCUUGGUGGUGAACUUUUUGGAGCGACUCAUGUUGAGAUGAUAUAUAUACUUCUCGGACCUCGUUGGUUACCCCAAGUGGAAGGUUGAGAUGUAAUCAGCAACAAGUUUUCCAUCACACGGGAAGUGUAAGGUUUAUCGAACAAGGAGGGCUUCUAGGCUCAACAAGUAGGUGUCUUCCACACUGGUGCUAGCAGAAGACGUGGACCUGCACGCACAACAAAUAACUUUGCUCCCAACGAGUACAGAGCGGUUGUCAAUCUCUCCGGCCUUGUAGUUUGCAAAGGAUCAAAACACAAGCGGGAAGGUAAUAGUGAUUGCAAUGGGAAAUUAAAUGAAAGAGGUAAAUGAUGGACGUGUAAACAAUGAUGGUGAUAUGGACCUAAGUCGAUGUUCACUAGUGAUGUCUCUCUCCCAAAAGACGAUAAAAAACUAUGCUUGGGUAAACAAAUCACAGUUGGGCAAUUGACAGAAUUAUGAACGCACCGCAAUGCUAAUUAUGCUACUUGAUAGUUAGAGGUUCAAUAGUAAUGGGCAGUAUGCCAAGACAAGUAGACCGUUUAUUCAUCAGCAUCUACUUACUAAUCAUCCACCUUGAGAUAUCUAUCCAGAACAUCUCUCCGGUAUUAAGUUGCGAGCCCCACCCAAAGUGUAAACUCAAAGCAACGGACAACUGCAUUAACGAACUAUGAGUAAGGUAAACAAUCCUUGCAACCGUGGUCACAAGCACUGUUGUUUUCUCCCUGGUGGCAACAACGCAUCCCCUAGUCACAUGUUUCUGUCACUCAAGCUAGACAUCGAGGGGCAUGAACCCACAAUCAUGCAUAACGCUCCCUCUUGGAGUUACAAUUUACUACUCAGCCAAAGCAAUAAAUAGCAAUGGAGAACAUGCAUGAAUCACUAAGGAACAUAAUAUAAAAGGAUAAUCAAAUAU
rnacentral:lncRNA from 1 species